GGUUAAGUUAGAAAGGGCGCACGGUGGAUGCCUUGGCACUAGGAGCCGAUGAAGGACGGGACGAACACCGAUAUGCUUCGGGGAGCUGUAAGCAAGCUUUGAUCCGGAGAUUUCCGAAUGGGGAAACCCACCACUCGUAAUGGAGUGGUAUCCAUAUCUGAAUACAUAGGAUAUGAGAAGGCAGACCCGGGGAACUGAAACAUCUAAGUACCCGGAGGAAGAGAAAGCAAAUGCGAUUCCCUGAGUAGCGGCGAGCGAAACGGGACCAGCCCAAACCAAGAGGCUUGCCUCUUGGGGUUGUAGGACACUCUGUACGGAGUUACAAAGGAACGAGGUAGAUGAAGAGGUCUGGAAAGGCCCGCCAUAGGAGGUAACAGCCCUGUAGUCAAAACUUCGUUCUCUCCUGAGUGGAUCCUGAGUACGGCGGAACACGUGAAAUUCCGUCGGAAUCCGGGAGGACCAUCUCCCAAGGCUAAAUACUCCCUAGUGACCGAUAGUGAACCAGUACCGUGAGGGAAAGGUGAAAAGCACCCCGGAAGGGGAGUGAAAGAGAUCCUGAAACCGUGUGCCUACAAGUAGUCAGAGCCCGUUAACGGGUGAUGGCGUGCCUUUUGUAGAAUGAACCGGCGAGUUACGAUCCCGUGCAAGGUUAAGCAGAAGAUGCGGAGCCGCAGCGAAAGCGAGUCUGAAUAGGGCGAAUUGAGUACGUGGUCGUAGACCCGAAACCAGGUGAUCUACCCAUGUCCAGGGUGAAGUUCAGGUAACACUGAAUGGAGGCCCGAACCCACGCACGUUGAAAAGUGCGGGGAUGAGGUGUGGGUAGGGGUGAAAUGCCAAUCGAACCUGGAGAUAGCUGGUUCUCUCCGAAAUAGCUUUAGGGCUAGCCUCAAGGUAAGAGUCUCGGAGGUAGAGCACUGAUUGGACUAGGGGCCCCUACCGGGUUACCGAAUUCAGUCAAACUCCGAAUGCCGAUGACUUAUCCUUGGGAGUCAGACUGCGAGUGAUAAGAUCCGUAGUCGAAAGGGAAACAGCCCAGACCGCCAGCUAAGGUCCCAAAGUAUACGUUAAGUGGAAAAGGAUGUGGAGUUGCUUAGACAACCAGGAUGUUGGCUUAGAAGCAGCCACCAUUUAAAGAGUGCGUAAUAGCUCACUGGUCGAGUGACUCUGCGCCGAAAAUGUACCGGGGCUAAACGUAUCACCGAAGCUGCGGACUGUUCUUCGAACAGUGGUAGGAGAGCGUUCUAAGGGCUGUGAAGCAAGACCGGAAGGACUUGUGGAGCGCUUAGAAGUGAGAAUGCCGGUAUGAGUAGCGAAAGAGGGGUGAGAAUCCCCUCCACCGAAUGCCUAAGGUUUCCUGAGGAAGGCUCGUCCGCUCAGGGUUAGUCGGGACCUAAGCCGAGGCCGAAAGGCGUAGGCGAUGGAUAACAGGUUGAUAUUCCUGUACCACCUCCUCACCAUUUGAGCAAUGGGGGGACGCAGGAGGAUAGGGUAAGCGCGGUAUUGGAUAUCCGCGUCCAAGCAGUUAGGCUGGGAAAUAGGCAAAUCCGUUUCCCGUGAAGGCUGAGCUGUGAUGGCGAGCGAAUUAUAGUAGCGAAGUUCCUGAUUCCACACUGCCAAGAAAAGCCUCUAGCGAGGUGAGAGGUGCCCGUACCGCAAACCGACACAGGUAGGCGAGGAGAGAAUCCUAAGGUGAUCGAGAGAACUCUCGUUAAGGAACUCGGCAAAAUGACCCCGUAACUUCGGGAGAAGGGGUGCUCUGUUAGGGUGCAAGCCCGAGAGAGCCGCAGUGAAUAGGCCCAGGCGACUGUUUAGCAAAAACACAGGUCUCUGCGAAGCCGUAAGGCGAAGUAUAGGGGCUGACGCCUGCCCGGUGCUGGAAGGUUAAGAGGAGCGCUUAGCGUAAGCGAAGGUGCGAAUUGAAGCCCCAGUAAACGGCGGCCGUAACUAUAACGGUCCUAAGGUAGCGAAAUUCCUUGUCGGGUAAGUUCCGACCCGCACGAAAGGCGCAACGAUCUGGGCACUGUCUCAACGAGAGACUCGGUGAAAUUAUAGUACCUGUGAAGAUGCAGGUUACCCGCGACAGGACGGAAAGACCCCGUGGAGCUUUACUGCAGCCUGAUAUUGAAUGUUGGUACAGCUUGUACAGGAUAGGUAGGAGCCUUGGAAACCGGAGCGCCAGCUUCGGUGGAGGCAUCGGUGGGAUACUACCCUGGCUGUAUUGACCUUCUAACCCGCCGCCCUUAUCGGGCGGGGAGACAGUGUCAGGUGGGCAGUUUGACUGGGGCGGUCGCCUCCUAAAAGGUAACGGAGGCGCCCAAAGGUUCCCUCAGAAUGGUUGGAAAUCAUUCGCAGAGUGUAAAGGCACAAGGGAGCUUGACUGCGAGACCUACAAGUCGAGCAGGGACGAAAGUCGGGCUUAGUGAUCCGGUGGUUCCGCAUGGAAGGGCCAUCGCUCAACGGAUAAAAGCUACCCCGGGGAUAACAGGCUUAUCUCCCCAAGAGUCCACAUCGACGGGGAGGUUUGGCACCUCGAUGUCGGCUCAUCGCAUCCUGGGGCUGUAGUCGGUCCCAAGGGUUGGGCUGUUCGCCCAUUAAAGCGGUACGCGAGCUGGGUUCAGAACGUCGUGAGACAGUUCGGUCCCUAUCCGUCGCGGGCGCAGGAAAUUUGAGAGGAGCUGUCCUUAGUACGAGAGGACCGGGAUGGACGCACCGCUGGUGUACCAGUUGUUCUGCCAAGGGCAUCGCUGGGUAGCUAUGUGCGGACGGGAUAAGUGCUGAAAGCAUCUAAGCAUGAAGCCCCCCUCAAGAUGAGAUUUCCCAUUCCACAAGGAAGUAAGAUCCCUGAAAGAUGAUCAGGUUGAUAGGUCUGAGGUGGAAGUGUGGCGACACAUGGAGCUGACAGAUACUAAUCGAUCGAGGACUUAACCAA
rnacentral:rRNA from 1 species